GCCAGCAGCUAGCUCUCUGAAAAUCUCAUAUGGUCGCCCUCUGAAGCUAAGCAGGGCUGCACAUGGUCAGUACCUGGAUGGGAGACCACAUGGGAAAGCUAGUUUGCUGCUGGAA
ensembl:rRNA 5S_rRNA 5S ribosomal RNA